rnacentral:rRNA from 1 species
CCCUACGGGGCGCAGCAGGCGCGAAAACUUUACAAUGCUGGAAACAGCGAUAAGGGGACCUCGAGUGUCAGGUUACAAAUCUGGCUGUCGUGAUGCCUAAAAAGCAUUGCAUAGCAAGGGCCGGGCAAGACCGGUGCCAGCCGCCGCGGUAACACCGGCGGCUCGAGUGGUAACCGUUAUUAUUGGGUCUAAAGGGUCUGUAGCCGGCCGGAUAAGUCUCUUGGGAAAUCUGGCAGCUUAACUGUCAGGCUUUCAGGAGAUACUGUCUGGCUCGAGGCCGGGAGAGGUGAGAGGUACCUCAGGGGUAGGGGUGAAAUCCUGUAAUCC